AGACAGAUUUAUGUUAUAAUAUAUCCCGAGGGGUGCCAUUUACAUUAACAUCCUGAACCAGUCCAAUACAAUGGUUGAAGCUUUAUACUUUCUGUUUGAAAUUCACGAAAACUAUUGGAUAAUUGACAAUUCGUAAAAGAGAUUACAUUUCCUGACGUGUUUAAUACAUAGACGUUUCUGUUCGGAGAAUGAUGGUAUAUGAUAAAUCGACACUGAAACAAAAUUUCGAUGCAACUGAACUUACUAGAAUCUUUGACAUUACAGAUAGCGGGAGGGUGAUAGAUACACCGAGCAAUGCCUUUAUGUUGGGUCUAUCUGUCCUAGGAUUUAUUUUGGCGAUGUCUAUCAUGAUAGCCAUACUAAAUGCUUUCGACAGAAUACGAUGCAGAUAAAUAUUAUAGUGCCAUUAGUGGUCGAUAUUACCAUAUUGCAAACACAUUACGUGUUCGGUGUUUAAACUGCAAAAAGAAUCACAGGUUUUUAAAAUGGACAAUAUAUAAUUGAUUAUUUUGAUCCAUAUUAAGGAAAGAAUACAAAGUCACGUUGGACACCAACUUUAUUGAAAAAUAAUUGUCUUCGAAUUUGGUUGCAAAAUUCAGCGUGUAUAUACAGGACGACGGUAUUUUACUGUUUGUAAUUCGUCUCCUUAAAAAAAUGGUUCUAAUAAACAUGUGCUACUAACACUGACACUUUCAGUGUUUCAUAGAAAUCCAUUGACGGCAUUUUUUCGGGCAGGGUGUCUGUGCUUUGUAACAGAGGAUACUUAUUAGAUCCGGGAUCUUGUAAAGAGAUAAAAAGAUGAUGAUAAUUUUAAACUAUCUAUAUUCAAAUCAUCUUAUGAAAAGUUACCAUUUCAAAACUAUCAUAAAAUCUUUAAAUAUUGUUUUUUAUUGGUAUCUAUACUGAUUUUAUUGUCAGUAAAUUAAAAUCAAACUGAAUAUAUUGUUUUUAAUACAUAUGCACAUUGAAUAUAGUCUACAAUCUGUAGAUACCUGUAUCUUGGCUUUGUACAGACAGGGACGUGUUUUUCUCUGAA